AAGCUUAUGGUGUAAUUGGAUAGCACUCAAGAAUACGACUCUUGAAGUAUGGGUUCGAGUCCUGUUAAGCUUACUA
rnacentral:tRNA from 1 species